AAUGAACGCUGGCGGCGCGCCUAACCCAUGCAAGUCGAACGAGGUCUUUUAGGAGGCUUGCUUCUUGGCUGACCUAGUGGCGGACGGGGGAGUAACACGUGAGCACCCUGCCGGGGAGUGGGGGAUAACGUCUGGAAACGGACGCUAAUACCCAAUAACAUAUCGGGUUGGAAUCAUCCUGGUAUCAAAGGAGAAAUCCGCUCUUUGGUGGGCCGGCGGCCGAUUAGGUAGUUGGUGGGGUAAAGGCCCACCAAGCCGACGACCGGUAGCCGGAGUGGGAGGUUGAUGGGCCACAGUGGGACUGAGACGCGGCCCAGACUCCUACGGGAGGCAGCAGUGGGGAAUAUUGCACAAUGGGGGAAACCCUGAUGCAGCGACGCCGCGUGAGUGAAGACGGCCUUCGGGUUGUAAAGCUCUGUUGACGGGGACGAUAAUGACGGUACCCGUUCAGAAAGCCACGGCUAACUACGUGCCAGCAGCCGCCGAACAC
rnacentral:rRNA from 1 species